rnacentral:tRNA from 1 species
UCCCUAGUGGUCCAGUGGCUAAGGUGCUGCACUUCCAAUGCAGGGAACCAGGUUCGAUCCCUGGUCAGGGGU